UACGUAGGGUGCGAGCGUUGUCCGGAAUUAUUGGGCGUAAAGGGCUCGUAGGCGGUUUGUCGCGCCGGGAGUGAAAACACCGGGCUUAACUCGGUGCUUGCUUUCGAUACGGGCAGACUAGAGGCAUGCAGGGGAGAACGGAAUUCCUGGUGUAGCGGUGAAAUGCGCAGAUAUCAGGAGGAACACCGGUGGCGAAGGCGGUUCUCUGGGCAUGUCCUGACGCUGAGGAGCGAAAGUGUGGGGAGCGAACAGG
rnacentral:rRNA from 1 species